CCUACGGGGCGCAGCAGUGAGGAAUAUUGGUCAAUGGGCGCGAGCCUGAACCAGCCAAGUAGCGUGAAGGAUGACUGCCCUACGGGUUGUAAACUUCUUUUAUAAAGGAAUAAAGUGAGGCACGUGUGCCUUUUUGUAUGUACUUUAUGAAUAAGGAUCGUCUAACUCCGUGCCAGCAGCCGCGGUAAUACGGAGGAUCCGAGCGUUAUCCGGAUUUAUUGGGUUUAAAGGGAGCGUAGAUGGGUUGUUAAGUCAGUUGUGAAAGUUUGCGGCUCAACCGUAAAAUUGCAAUUGAUACUGGCAGCCUUGAGUACAGUUGAGGUAGGCGGAAUUCGUGGUGUAGCGGUGAAAUGCUUAGAUAUCACGAAGAACUCCGAUUGCGAAGGCAGCAUACCGGUGCACAACUGACGCUCAGGCACGAAAGCGUGGGGAGCGAACAGGAUUAGAUACCCCAGUAGUC
rnacentral:rRNA from 1 species